rnacentral:lncRNA from 1 species
GAACUUUGUGCGGGACUGCAGCUCGCAGUGCGGUCCCAGGACCUGGUGGCCCGGGCCCUGCUGUGCCUGUCCAAGACGGGCCAGCUGUGCAGCACCUGCCAAGGACAGGGGCCACCCUGGGCCAUCCUGGAACGGCGGGUGCUCGAGCUCACCGCCAUCAUCAAGCGUUCCGGUGCUGCCUCAGACAUACUGACACCUCCAAAGGAAGAGGAGCUCAAAAGGCGGCACGAGGACUUGGCACAGCUGCCUGCCCUGGUUCGUCUAGUCACUGCCCUCAUGUCUACACAGGAGUAACCUUUGUGGUGGGCCUCUCAUUUGUACAGUCCUGUUUUGAUAUACAUAUUUGUUUUGUACC